UACGUAGGGGGCAAGCGUUGUCCGGAUUUAUUGGGCGUAAAGAGCGUGUAGGCGGCUUGACAGGUCUGCUGUGAAAACUCGAGGCUCAACCUCGAGAUGUCGGCGGAAACCGUCUGGCUAGAGUCCGGAAGAGGAGAGUGGAAUUCCUGGUGUAGCGGUGAAAUGCGCAGAUAUCAGGAGGAACACCGGUGGCGAAGGCGGAUCUCUGGGCCUUACCUGACGCUCAGGUGCGAAAGCUAGGGGAGCGAACAGG
rnacentral:rRNA from 1 species